CGGGUUGGCUUCUCAUCAAAUCCCCAAUAUUUGGCAGUUUUUACAUCAUCCUGGGCCAUCAAUCGUGAGAAUUCCUCAUGGUCAUACUUCAUCGUGGCUUUCCCUCCAAACUCACCAGGAAGGUUGUCAACAUCAAAGAAAUGCCUCAUGACCUCCUCACUCUCUUUAUUAUUUGGAUAAACAAAUUUUACCUUCUCUGAAGUUUUUGAAUUAAGUACGCACUUAACAGCCUUCCAGAAUGCCUCAAAAAUUCUUGG
rnacentral:misc_RNA from 1 species